CUCUGCCGGGCGCCGGUGCACGCUGCUGGGGACGAGCCGCUACGGAUGCGCCGCGGGCCGGGUGCCCGGGCUGCCCCUCCCUCCGGCCGCCCGCGCUGCACCCGUGGGAGUUCCGUGUUUCCGAAGGGGUUCGAGCCACCGGGAGCAGCCUGGCAUUCGCUCCGGCUUCACUCCACGUUCGUUUUGCUGGGGAUACGGAAAUCUGCAUCCGGAGGAGCUGCUCUGGCACCUGAACCGACCUGCGGAGUUUGCAGGCAAAUAAGCCACAGGAAAGACCUCUAGCCCAAACAGAGGCAAUACAGAGGGUGGCAGACAGGGCUGGGGGCAUCCGGGUGCAGGGGGGAAGCAGAUAGCACCAGACAGUCUUAAAGACCUUUCACUGUCUGCAUUUAACCCUUGCCUUUCUGGAAACUGCUCUAAGUCACUGGGGAGGCUGGGCAAGCUGCUGGGAGGGGAGUGGAGCCAGGGUGGGAAUGGCCAUUCCUCCGUGGUCCUACGCUGAGCACAGCUGGGGACCAGCGAAGGGUUCUGGCCCUCCCGUGAAUUGAAUCCCACAUUUUUAGCAUUUGCAAUUCCCCUUAUACAUAUUGGCCAAGCCGGGCAGCUUCAUCUGCGUCGCAGCAGUGAACGCUGCGCUGGCAUCCUUCCUCCACAAGAGGCCUUUGGAUGGCCAGGGCAACACAGUGCUGGUGGAGCAGCAGGAGCUGCUGGCCGCAUCCUCGCGCCCCAGCCACGGCUUGCCCUAGCCUUCUUCCCCAGGUAUGCUCUCUGUGCUAAGCAGCUUGUAAAUACAAUAAUGAUGCUCCUAGUUUGCUCAGGGAAGAGAUAAAAAGGAAAAGAAUCAGGUUAGGUGGUGGGUUGCCCUGGGAGCCUGGGUAUCAGUGGUUGUUGAUCUUGCCUUGAGCCUCUGUUGGAACAGCCUGAACUAAUUAACCCUCUCGCACUCCAUAAUGAAGACUAAUAAACACCUAAUUGGCUUGCUUGAGCAAACAGCCUCUGCACAGGCAUAGGAAGCGCUGAGCUGCGUGGAGCUGAGUGGCAAAGCUGGGGUAGUGGUGUUGGUGGUGCUGGUGGUGGUGAUAGUGGUGAUGCUGCUCCUGCUCUCUAGGUCUCCUUGGGGACACCUUCCUGGUCCUCCUUGCACACCUUGGCUGUGCCUGGUGCCCUUGUGCUGGCUGGUGCCCCUGUGCUGGCACCCUGUGAGCCGCCUGCGGCAGGGACUGCUUGCAGACGGCCUGUGCCAUGGCAGGUGCUACCCCCUCUCUGGGGACCCAGCCGUAAGUGUGGUGAAAAUAAAUGAGCAAAUUCCUGCUGUGGACGAUAUGCCCAUCAUCCUGGUGCACGCAGUUGGUAAUCCCUUGGAGCAGGACUCUGGCGCCACCACCAAACCUGGUCCUGCAGGAAAUGUACUCAGAAAUAGUCUGCUUGAAAUACUGUACCAGAUGGACUACGUUUUCCUAACCUUUAGCUGGUUCCAAUGUGCAAACAGUUAAGAUCAUAAUGUUAACAUUUUCUCAGAUGUUUUAUGUGCAUAUAAAAUAUUCUCAGAGAAUGUGCUUUUGAAUGCAAAGUUUGAUCCAAUUACGAUUUUACUGGAGUUUAUAAAAACAUAAAAAAUA